rnacentral:rRNA from 1 species
AACGAGCGAGAGAGAGCUUGCUUUCUCGAGCGAGUGGCGAACGGGUGAGUAACGCGUGAGGAACCUGCCUCAAAGAGGGGGACAACAGUUGGAAACGACUGCUAAUACCGCAUAAGCCCACGGGUCGGCAUCGACCAGAGGGAAAAGGAGCAAUCCGCUUUGAGAUGGCCUCGCGUCCGAUUAGCUAGUUGGUGAGGUAAUGGCCCACCAAGGCAACGAUCGGUAGCCGGACUGAGAGGUUGAACGGCCACAUUGGGACUGAGACACGGCCCAGACUCCUACGGGAGGCAGCAGUGGGGAAUAUUGCACAAUGGGGGAAACCCUGAUGCAGCGACGCCGCGUGGAGGAAGAAGGUCUUCGGAUUGUAAACUCCUGUUGUUGAGGAAGAUAAUGACGGUACUCAACAAGGAAGUGACGGCUAACUACGUGCCAGCAGCCGCGGUAAAACGUAGGUCACAAGCGUUGUCCGGAAUUACUGGGUGUAAAGGGAGCGCA